CGGGUGAGUAACACGUGACUAACCUACCUCCGAGUGGGGAAUAACUCCGGGAAACCGGGGCUAAUACCGCAUAACAUCGCGAGAUCAAAGCAGCAAUGCGCUCGGAGAGGGGGUCGCGGCUGAUUAGCUAGUUGGCGGGGUAACGGCCCACCAAGGCGAAGAUCGGUAUCCGGCCUGAGAGGGCGCACGGACACACUGGAACUGAAACACGGUCCAGACUCCUACGGGAGGCAGCAGUGGGGAAUUUUGCGCAAUGGGGGAAACCCUGACGCAGCAACGCCGCGUGGAGGAUGAAGCCCUUUGGGGCGUAAACUCCUUUCGACCAAGACGAUAAUGACGGUACUGGUGGAAGAAGCACCGGCUAACUCUGUGCCAGCAGCCGCGGUAAUACAGAGGGUGCAAGCGUUGUUCGGAAUUAUUGGGCGUAAAGGGCGCGUACGCGGUGCCACAAGUCACCUGUGAAACCUCCGGGCUUAACUCCGGAGCUGCAGGCGAAACUGUGGUGCUG
rnacentral:rRNA from 1 species